rnacentral:rRNA from 1 species
GACGGAGGAUGCAAGCGUUAUCCGGAAUGAUUGGGCGUAAAGCGUCCGCAGGUGGCAGUUCAAGUCUGCUGUCAAAGACCGGGGCUUAACUUCGGAAAGGCAGUGGAAACUGAACAGCUAGAGUAUGGUAGGGGCAGAGGGAAUUCCUGGUGUAGCGGUGGAAUGCGUAGAGAUCGGGAAGAACAUCAGUGGCGAAGGCGGCCUGCUGGGCUGUUGCUGACGCUGAGGCGCGAAAGCGUGGGGAGCAAACAGG